rnacentral:rRNA from 1 species
AGAUGGAUUGGUGGCCUUCGGGAACUACUGACACAGGUGCUGCAUGGCUGUCGUCAGCUCGUGUUGUGAGAUGUUGGGUUAAGUCCCGUAACGAGCGCAACCCUUGUCCUUAGUUACCAGCACGUUAUGUGGGCACUCUAAGGAGACUGCCGGUGACAAACCGGAGGAAGGUGGGGAUGACGUCAAGUCAUCAUGGCCCUUACGGCCUGGGCUACACACGUGCUACAAUGGUCGGUACAAAGGGUUGCCAAGCCGCGAGGUGGAGCUAAUCCCAUAAAACCGAUCGUAGUCCGGAUCGCAGUCUGCAACUCGACUGCGUGAAGUCGGAAUCGCUAGUAAUCGUGAAUCAGAAUGUCACGGUGAAUACGUUCCCGGGCCUU